rnacentral:snoRNA from 1 species
AGCACUUGUGUGUGUUUUUAUUUAACUUGUGGACAAAGACUUAUAGACAGGUGCAAAAAAUAAAUCCUCUUUCCCCCAGAACUUACUGUUCAGUAUGAGUUUUGAUACGCAUAAGAAUGAAUAUG